rnacentral:rRNA from 1 species
CCCCGGUAAACGGCGGCCGUAACUAUAACGGUCCUAAGGUAGCGAAAUUCCUUGUCGGGUAAGUUCCGACCUGCACGAAUGGCGUAAUGAUGGCCAGGCUGUCUCCACCCGAGACUCAGUGAAAUUGAACUCGCUGUGAAGAUGCAGUGUACCCGCGGCAAGACGGAAAGACCCCGUGAACCUUUACUAUAGCUUGACACUGAACAUUGAGCCUUGAUGUGUAGGAUAGGUGGGAGGCUUUGAAGUGUGGACGCCAGUCUGCAUGGAGCCGACCUUGAAAUACCACCCUUUAAUGUUUGAUGUUCUAACGUGGACCCGUAAUCCGGGUUGCGGACAGUGUCUGGUGGGUAGUUUGACUGGGGCGGUCUCCUCCUAAAGAGUAACGGAGGAGCACGAAGGUUGGCUAAUCCUGGUCGGACAUCAGGAGGUUAGUGCAAUGGCAUAAGCCAGCUUGACUGCGAGCGUGACGGCGCGAGCAGGUGCGAAAGCAGGUCAUAGUGAUCCGGUGGUUCUGAAUGGAAGGGCCAUCGCUCAACGGAUAAAAGGUACUCCGGGGAUAACAGGCUGAUACCGCCCAAGAGUUCAUAUCGACGGCGGUGUUUGGCACCUCGAUGUCGGCUCAUCACAUCCUGGGGCUGAAGUAGGUCCCAAGGGUAUGGCUGUUCGCCAUUUAAAGUGGUACGCGAGCUGGGUUUAGAACGUCGUGAGACAGUUCGG